rnacentral:lncRNA from 1 species
UGUUGUUCUCUCUAAAUUUUCUCUUUCUACUCUGGUUGCAUGCAUUUAAGCACCAUACAUCGCUGCAUUCCCGGGCCUUUUCCGAUUCCUUGAAAUUCCCUAUAUGCGGACUUACUUCCAAGAGCUUUGGCAUUAAUUCCCCAUAUGAAUCUCUGAAAUUUGCUGAGAAAUUUAGUCUUUCUGGACUGCCAUUUCUGAUAACUAGAGCACUUCAUAUUCAUCUUGUUAGCAGCCUGUUUCAAACUAUCCCGUUGUUGCACCAAGGACUUCCCUUUUCUAACUACAACAUUUAACUUCUUUCUCAAAGAAGCGGACUUCUGCUCCUCCUGAUCAAGUGGAACCUGCAUCUCAUCCCUUUUCUGAUCCUAUGCUUCAACUUCACAUAGCAAAGAUUGCAUCUUCUCCAUAUACCUAUCUCUCUCCCCCUUUGCUUCAGUCAGAUCACCCAAAGCCUCCUCCAGUUCUUUCUUCAAAACUACCACAUCUAGAUCCUUGGUAUCUGGUGCAUCUAUG